GGGGGAUUAGCUCAGUUGGUAGAGCGCGACAAUGGCAUUGUCGAGGCCAGGGGUUCGAAUCCCCUAUCCUCCACCA
rnacentral:tRNA from 1 species